AUUGAACGCUGGCGGAAGGCCUAACACAUGCAAGUCGAGCGAGCGGCGGACGGGUGAGUAAUGUAUGGGGACCGCCCGAUAGAGGGGGAUAACGACUGGAAACGGUGGCUAAUAGCGCAUACUGGCGGAUAACGCAUAUGGGAGUAGGUAGUAGGUAAGGUCAUGGCUGACCUAUGCGACGAUCCCUAGCUGGGACGAGAGGAUGAUCAGCCACACUGGGACUGAGCCACGGCCCACACUCCUACGGAGGCAGCAGUGGGGACGCUUGCCCAAUGGGCGCAAGCCGGAGGCAGCCCUGCCGCGUGGCUGAGGAAGGCCCUAGGGUUGUAAAGUACUUUCAGUCGUGAGGCGUUACCGACAGAAGUCGCACCGGCUAACUCCGUGCCAGCCGCCGCGGUAAUUC
rnacentral:rRNA from 1 species